rnacentral:miRNA from 1 species
GGGAGGAGGGCAGGAGGC